UCAUGUUGUUCUCCAUCAGCUGCACCACCUCCUGCUCGAAGGCCGAGCUAUCCCGGAGCUCCGACUGCUCGAGCAAGCCUCCUCCUCCCUGCCUGCCGGAUCUCGGGGACAGGAGGAGCCCAGAGCUCUGCUGCAUUGCCGUAAAGAAAAGGUGGAUCCUAGAUGGUUUACAAGGACAAAAUGUACUCUCAAUUCAGACUUGCAUAAUUUACCUCAGUCUGAGAUUCUGUCAGAAGCGGAACGACGGCUUCGGUCGCGCCAAGUCGGCUCAUGCUAAGAACCUUCAGUGACAGCAAUGGCAUUAUCAGGCAAGUGGUGGUGAGUCUACUGCGUGAAACAGGGAGAUGGUGGUGGUGUGCAAACCUUGACUUGCAACUGAAGAAAUUUGACGUAGUCGAUGAUCUCAUCGAGCAUGGAUGCCUUGUCAGUCUGCACAGGAGAAAUGAGGGUUCAGAAACAGGUAUACACUGAAGUUGACUGGCUUUGAGAGUAGAGUUGUUUUCUACAAGAGUUAGUUCAGUAACUCAGUACCCUGUUGGAGUUUGGAACAAGCUCCUGCAAAUUCUUCAUCCUGUCGGAGAUCUUCUCCCUUCGGAGCUGCAACAAACGUAACCACAGUACGUUCAAACCUGAUGUUCUGGAUGGACUGAUGAUUAAAUUCAGACCGGAAAAAAAAAACAUGAAUGGACGCACCCUCUCUGCGAUGCUGUGUGGAUCAGUGGCCUGGCCUCGGCGAGCUCUAACGCGAGGCUUGGGAGCCCCGUUCGCACCAAUCCCAUUGCCAUUUGUGCCUUCAGAUCGAGUUACGAAUGGAGCAAUCAUACCAUUGUUGCCACUGCUGACUUCGUUGGACUGUACAUGGAGGGAAAUUGUUCAUAUGAUCAGUUCAAAUAAACUUUGGCUCAACAGAGACCAGGAUGAAAGAAACCUGUUUAGGAUUAUGUGCUCCUACUGGUGCGUUAAAAGAUGAUGAAAGCUGCCCAGAAACCAAUGAGGAGAGGUUCAGGUGAUGCAGGCCGCUGAAUUCCUGUAACGUUGGAAUCAGGUUAGGUAAACAGACGCAUCAUGGUACAAUCUCAAUCUGUGUCAACGCCAUCAGGCGUCAGCUAACCAGUACCGUGCAGCUUUAUUUUGAUGGCUCGCCGGCACAAUCAGCUAAUGGGCUUCUAUUACAAAUGAAACAUGUCUGAGAUAAAAGACAAACAAGAAAGUAGGCAUCUCAGACUGACCUUGUGACUGAUCUGCAGGUUGUCAAAGUUUGUAUUCACUUGCUGUCGAGGAGUGAAAGAGAGCAUCGUUCCAGUGUUAAACUCAACAUCAUCCUGCAAGCAUAUAACGUGCAAAAUAACCAACACAAUGGUGCAGAGGACACAUUGCCUAGCUGCGGAUACUUCUUCCCAUCUGGAGGGCAGCCCUCGUGCAGAAGAUCAUCGUUGCUAACGGUACCGAAACCAAAGCUUUGCGAAGUUUCUUCCCCGACCAGCGAAGAAAUGUGCGCAAACGUUGAAGGCCACGCAGCUGGUACCGGCAUAGGUUGCUCUUCCAAGAGGAAC